UGAAUACGAGAUGCUACGGCGUCGAAGCAGUCUAUGUCAUACUUCCAAGAAAAGCUCGCACUGUCAUAAACAAAUAAUGCCUGUACCAUAACCGACACAGGUGGGUAGGUAGAGUAUACUAAGGGGCGCGAGAUAACUCUCUCUAAGGAACUCGGCAAAAUGACUCCGUAACUUCGGGAGAAGGAGUGCCUUAUUUAUAAGGUUGCAAUAACAAGAUCCAAGCAACUGUUUAUCAAAAACACAGGUCUCCGCUAAGUCGUAAGACGAUGUAUGGGGGCUGACGCCUGCCCAGUGCCAGAAGGUUAAAGAAGUUGGUUAGCAUUCGCGAAGCUGAUAACUGAAGCCCUGGUGAACGGCGGCCGUAACGAUAACGGUCCUAAGGUAGCGAAAUUCCUUGUCGGGUAAGUUCCGACCCGCACGAAAGGCGUAAUGAUUUGGAUACUGUCUCGGAGAGGGGCUCGGUGAAAUAGACUUGUCUGUGAAGAUGCGGACUACCUGCACCAGGACGGAAAGACCCUAUGAAGCUUUACUGUAACUUGAGAUUGAAAUUGGACUUUACUUGCGCAGUAUAGGUGGGAGGCGUUGAUAAUAUUCUUGCGGGAUUAUUUGAGCCAUCAGUGAGAUACCACUCUUGUAAUGUUAGAUUUCUAACUUUGUAUCAUUAUCUGGUCAAAGGACAGUUUCAGGCGGGCAGUUUGACUGGGGCGGUCGCCUCCUAAACGGUAACGGAGGCGCACAAAGGUUUCCUCUGAACGGGUAGAAAUCGUAUCUAGAGUGUAAAGGCAUAAGGAAGCUUGACUGUGAGACCUACAAGUCGAGCAGGGACGAAAGUCGGUCUUAGUGAUCUGACGGUGCUGAGUGGAAAGGCCGUCACUCAACGGAUAAAAGUUACUCUAAGGAUAACAGGCUGAUCUCCCCCAAGAGUUCACAUCGACGGGGAGGUUUGGCACCUCGAUGUCGGCUCAUCGCAUCCUGGGGCGGUAGUACGUCCCAAGGGUUGGGCUGUUCGCCCAUGAAAGCGGUACGCGAGCUGGGUUCAGAACGUCGUGAGACAGUUCGGUCCAUAUCCGGUGUAGGCGUUAGAAUAUUGAGAGGAGCCUUCUUUAGUACGAGAGGACCGAGAAGGACAUACCUCUGGUGUACCAGUUAUCGUGCCAACGGUAAACGCUGGGUAGCUACGUAUGGAGUGGAUAACCGCUGAAAGCAUCUAAGUGGGAAGCCCACCUCAAGAUAAG
rnacentral:rRNA from 1 species